rnacentral:rRNA from 1 species
UGCUUCCUACGGGGCGCAGCAGUGGGGAAUAUUGCACAAUGGGCGCAAGCCUGAUGCAGCGACGCCGCGUGCGGGAUGGAGGCCUUCGGGUUGUAAACCGCUUUUGUUCAAGGGCAAGGCACGGUCUUUGGCCGUGUUGAGUGGAUUGCUCGAAUAAGCACCGGCUAAAUACGUGCCAGCAGCCGCGGUAAUACGUAGGGUGCAAGCGUUAUCCGGAUUUAUCGGGCGUAAAGGGCUCGUAGGCGGUUCGUCGCGUC